rnacentral:rRNA from 1 species
CCUACGGGUGGCAGCAGUGAGGAAUAUUGGUCAAUGGUCGUGAGCCUGAACCAGCCAAGUCGCGUGAAGGAUGACGGCCCUACGGGUUGUAAACUUCUUUUGUCAGGGGGCAAUUGGGUCCACGCGUGGGCUUAGCGAGAGUACCUGAAGAAAAGGCAUCGGCUAACCCCGUGCCAGCAGCCGCGGUAAUACGGAGGAUGCGAGUGUUAUCCGUAUUUAUUGGGUUUAAGGGGUGCGUAGGCGGAAUAUAAAGUCAGCGGGAAAAAUCGGGGGCACAACCUCGCCGUGCCGUUGAAACUGAUGUUCUUGAGGGGGCGAGAAGUAGGCGGAAUGCGUGGGGUAGCGGUGAA